CACGGGGGGAGCAAGCGUUGUUCGGAAUCACUGGGCGUAAAGGGCGUGUAGGCGGUUCGGUAAGUGAGAUGUGAAAUCCUCCGGCUCACCCGGAGACCUGCAUCUCAAACUGCCGGACUAGAGUAUGGGAGAGGACAAGGGAAUUCCUGGUGUAGCGGUGAAAUGCGUAGAUAUCAGGAGGAACACCGGUGGCGAAAGCGACACGCUGGAUCUCAUCUGACGCUGAGGCGCGAAAGCCAGGGGAGCGAACGGG
rnacentral:rRNA from 1 species